UUCAGUCUGCCAUCUUCAGUCAUCAAUCAUGCACCUGAACUUUUCCGUGAAACUUGAAGGACUCGGGGUGCCAUUACAGAGAGCUGUGUGAGAAUUUGUUGGUCCACAUCAACACUGGCGUGGUCUCACAGAGUCGAAAGGAGCUCAUGUUAAGAGGAAGACAAAGGAGGAAAGACAUGUAUUAAAAUAGUCAUAACUCAUACAAUUAAAUAAGGAGGCUGUUACGUUCAGGCUCGGACACAAAAGGUAAGUGGUAAUACAAAAUGAGGUUUAUUGAACAGGUGAUAUAUUGCAAGGUGAGAGGGUGAUCUUUAGAGGGGAGUAGAGUCUCUUGAAGCGUGAUUCUUGGUAAUAGAUGAGAGGUGAUGAUAAUGUUUUCUUUCCCACAGAGAAUUCAAGAUGACAAGACGAGGGGAUCCGUAAUGGCACACGCACACACUCUGAAGAAGGGCGAUCUAUGAGGAGAGGACAACACAAGGAGGAAGAGCACAGGAAGUAAGGUACACAAGGUCUACAAUAUCGAACUCAACAGCUCUUUUAAGAGCCAACCCUCACAAACCUUCCUAAAAACUAAAAGUUAUUACUGAGUCUUAACGAAUCUUGCCAUGAUCAGCCCUUCCCAGAAGCGAAGGAAGAUCAAGGAAAUUCUUUGUUCAGGGUGAGGAAUGAACAUGGCCAUCUUGCGCCCAAACGAAGACAGAAAGGUGCGCAAGUCCACUGAUGGAAGCAAGAGGGGAUAGGAUAGGAGUGAAAGAAGAGGAUGUUGUAAAUUGUCUUCAAAGAAAAAGCUUCUCAAAAGGCCUUAAAACAGCUUAAAAAAAUGGUCUGGGAACAGACACGAGGGAAGAAGAUCAUGAUGGGGAAAUGGACGGGGAAGAGCAAGAAACCAGUUUAGAUGUGAU